rnacentral:rRNA from 1 species
CCACGGGUGGCUGCAGUGGGGAAUAUUGGACAAUGGGCGAAAGCCUGAUCCAGCCAUGCCGCGUGUGUGAAGAAGGCCUUCGGGUUGUAAAGCACUUUCAGUGGGGAAGAAAGCCUUGGGGCUAAUACCCUCGAGGAAGGACAUCACCCACAGAAGAAGCACCGGCUAACUCCGUGCCAGCAGCCGCGGUAAUACGGAGGGUGCGAGCGUUAAUCGGAAUUACUGGGCGUAAAGCGCGCGUAGGCGGUCUGAUAAGCCGGUUGUGAAAGCCCCGGGCUCAACCUGGGAACGGCAUCCGGAACGGUCAGGCUAGAGUGCAGGAGAGGAAGGUAGAAUUCCCGGUGUAGCGGUGAAAUGCGUAGAGAUCGGGAGGAAUACCAGUGGCGAAGGCGGCCUUCUGGACUGACACUGACGCUGAGGUGCGAAAGCGUGGGUAGCAAACAGGAUUAGAUACCCCGGUAGUC